rnacentral:rRNA from 1 species
AUUGAACGCUGGCGGCAGGCUUAACACAUGCAAGUCGAGCGGAGCGAGGGUGCUUGCACCUUAGCUUAGCGGCGGACGGGUGAGUAAUGCUUAGGAAUCUGCCUAUUAGUGGGGGACAACAUUCCGAAAGGAAUGCUAAUACCGCAUACGCCCUACGGGGGAAAGCAGGGGAUCUUCGGACCUCGCGCUAAUAGAUGAGCCUAAGUCGGGUUAGCUAGUUGGUGGGGUAAAGGCUAGCCAAGGCGACGAUCUGUAGCGGGUCUGAGAGGAUGAUCCGCCACACUGGGACUGAGACACGGCCCAGACUCCUACGGGAGGCAGCAGUGGGGAAUAUUGGACAAUGGGCGGAAGCCUGAUCCAGCCAUGCCGCGUGUGUGAAGAAGGCCUUUUGGUUGUAAAGCACUUUAAGCGAGGAGGAGGCUACUUAGAUUAAUACUCUGGGAUAGUGGACGUUACUCGCAGAAUAAGCACCGGCUAACUCUGUGCCAGCCGCCGCCGUAA